UAGAAUAUGGUGUAUAUGGUAGCACGAAGAUUUUUGAAUUCUUAGGUUUAGGUUCGAGUCCUAAAAUUCUAG
rnacentral:tRNA from 1 species